rnacentral:lncRNA from 1 species
AGGGCCGCGUUCCGUUGGGGACCGUAUGGCGUACAGUAUGGCAUACUUCCCCCGAAUCGGGGGGGACCAGCAUACGGCUCGCCUUGCGGGAGCGUGCGGGACCUUGCGCUCCUCGGAGGUGAAUGCUUGGCGGUGUCUGGCAACUAUUGUUUAUCAACAAACCGCAGACGUCCGCCGCUUCACCACUAUAUUAUCAGUGUGGGGGAUGUAAAUGCUAUUUUGACAGCUUAUGCGACGUCACAGAACAUCAAAAACAAUGUGCCUCUGAGGCAGAAGAGACAGCCUCUACCGCCAUGGUAGCUGCUGCAGAGGCCCCUCCAGCACCUGUGGCUGCAGGGACAGUUUCCCUUUGCAUUCGAAAGUGUUCUAUAAGUCUUUCCCGGAGUAAAGAGGCACUAUCA